GUCUCCGUCGCUUAGUUGGUUAAAGCAUCGCAUUGUGGCUGCGGGGCCGGGUGUUCGAAUCACCCCGGAGACA
rnacentral:tRNA from 1 species